AUUGAACGCUGGCGGCAUGCCUUACACAUGCAAGUCGAACGGCAGCACGGGAGCAAUCCUGGUGGCGAGUGGCGAACGGGUGAGUAAAGUAUCGGAACGUGCCCAGUCGUGGGGGAUAACGUAGCGAAAGUUACGCUAAUACCGCAUACGAUCUAUGGAUGAAAGCGGGGGAUCGCAAGACCUCGCGCGAUUGGAGCGGCCGAUAUCAGAUUAGGUAGUUGGUGGGGUAAAGGCUCACCAAGCCGACGAUCUGUAGCUGGUCUGAGAGGACGACCAGCCACACUGGGACCGAGGCACGGCCCAGAUGCCUAGGGGAGACAGCAGUGGGGAAUUUUGGGCAAUGGGCGAAAGCCUGAUCCAGCCAUGCCGCGUGCAGGAUGAAGGCCUUCGGGUUGUAAACUGCUUUUGUACGGAACGAAAAGGUUUGGCCUAAUAAGCUGAGCUCAUGACGGUACCGUAAGAAUAAGCACCGGCUAACUACGUGCCAGCCGCCGCGGUAA
rnacentral:rRNA from 1 species